UACGAAGGGUGCAAGCGUUACUCGGAAUUACUGGGCGUAAAGCGUGCGUAGGUGGUGAGUUAAGUCUGUCGUGAAAGCCCCGGGCUCAACCUGGGAAUGGCGAUGGAUACUGGCUCGCUAGAGUGCGGUAGAGGAGAGUGGAAUUCCCGGUGUAGCAGUGAAAUGCGUAGAGAUCGGGAGGAACAUCAGUUGCGAGGCGGCUCUCUGGACCAGCACUGACACUGAGGCACGAAAGCGUGGGGAGCAAACAGG
rnacentral:rRNA from 1 species